rnacentral:lncRNA from 1 species
CCUGUCCCCAGAAGAACUGAUACUAGCUCUGCUCCUGUGCCCAAGAAGCUGCUCUGAUACCCAAUGCUAUACAUCAGCCAGGGGCAGUACUGCACCUUGAGCAACUUGGUCAAGGCCAUCUUUGAUGCUAUCACCAAGAUUUACAGUCAGUCUCUAGAAGGAGACUGUAUUCACCAAGUAUCUAUCAGGAAUUUAAUGACUAUCAUGUGAAAGUCCACACCAUAGUCUCCAUUCAGAGGACCCAGGCUCCAGUUGUGGCUACCACAUAG